UUUCCAGACUCCUACGGGAGGCAGCAGUGGGGGAUAUUGCACAAUGGGGGGAACCCUGAUGCAGCGACGCCGCGUGGGUGAAGAAGCGCCUCGGCGCGUAAAGCCCUGUCAGCAGGGAAGAAAAUGACGGUACCUGAAGAAGAAGCCCCGGCUAACUACGUGCCAGCAGCCGCGGUAAUACGUAGGGGGCAAGCGUUAUCCGGAUUUACGGGGUGUAAAGGGAGCGUAGGUGGCAGGGCAAGUCAGAUGUGAAAACCCGGGGCUCAACCCCGGGAGUGCAUUUGAAACUGUCCAGCUGGAGUGCAGGAGAGGUAAGCGGAAUUCCUAGUGUAGCGGUGAAAUGCAUAGAUAUUAGGAGGAACACCAGUGGCGAAGGCGGCUUACUGGACUGUAACUGACACUGAGGCUCGAAAGCGUGGGGAGCAAACAGGAUUAGAUACCCCGGUAC
rnacentral:rRNA from 1 species